GGAGAAAUGGCCGAGUGGCUGAAGGCGGCACCCUGCUAAGGUGUUAUAGGGAGUAAUCUCUAUCGAGGGUUCGAAUCCCUCUUUCUCCG
rnacentral:tRNA from 1 species